CCCUUAGACGUUCUGGGCCGCACGCGCGCUACACUGACCAGUGCAACAAGCAUCCGUCCUUGGCCGACAGGCCCGGGCAAUCUUUGAACGCUGGUCGUGAUGGGGAUAGACUUUUGCAAUUUUUGGUCUUCAACGAGGAAUUCCUAGUAAACGCAAGUCAUCAACUUGCAUUGAUUACGUCCCUGCUCUUUGUACACACCGCCCGUCGCACCUACCGAUUGAAUGGUCCGGUGAAGCCUCCGGAUUGGCGCGCACCUCGGUGCCGCCGAGAAGUUGGCUAAACCUUACCAUUUAGAGGAAGGUGAAGUCGUAACA
rnacentral:rRNA from 1 species